rnacentral:rRNA from 1 species
GAUGAACGCUGGCGGUGUGCCUAAUACAUGCAAGUCGAGCGAACGGACGAGAAGCUUGUUUCUCUGAUGUUAGCGGCGGACGGGUGAGUAACACGUGGAUAACCUACCUAUAAGACUGGGAUAACUUCGGGAAACCGGAGCUAAUACCGGAUAAUAUUUUGAACCGCAUGGUUCAAAAGUGAAAGACGGUCUUGCUGUCACUUAUAGAUGGAUCCGCGCUGCAUUAGCUAGUUGGUAAGGUAACGGCUUACCAAGGCAACGAUGCAUAGCCGACCUGAGAGGGUGAUCGGCCACACUGGAACUGAGACACGGUCCAGACUCCUACGGGAGGCAGCAGUAGGGAAUCUUCCGCAAUGGGCGAAAGCCUGACGGAGCAACGCCGCGUGAGUGAUGAAGGUCUUCGGAUCGUAAAACUCUGUUAUUAGGGAAGAACAUAUGUGUAAGUAACUGUGCACAUCUUGACGGUACCUAAUCAGAAAGCCACGGCUAACUACGUG